GCGGGCCGCGCGGAGCCUCAUUUCCCCAAACGCAGGCGCUCGGUGGCGGUAGCCGCGGUUGUUGGCCGACCGAGUGCCGGUCAUAAGCCCCCCCCGGUGGGGGGCAGCUGGUGUGCGGAUCGCGGCGGGAGAGAGGCGCGGUAGGAACGGGUCCCCGGAGCCGUGAACCGCGGGUACAGGUGUCCUGUCUGCGCUCUCUGCCAAGCCGGCUUGCUUCCUGAUCUGUUGCUAGGGCCGCUGGACCCCGUUGCUAAGGACCCUUGAGAUCGUGAGCGCUUGGAGUGUACCCCUCCUUUCCUGGGGUAGAGGGUCAGUCGAGAGUAGCCUUCGUUAACCUUAAUUGAAACUGGUUCGCUUCUCCCCAUCACUGCCCCUUUACACCAUCCUCUACAUGUUAUUUAAUGAAAAACCACUUGAAAGGGUUACCAAGGAUAAGAUUUUUAAAGCUUGCUUUCACAAACAACUCAUGCUCCAGGCUUGUCAGUGGCAUGCUUCCAGUCUCUUUCAGAUACCCAAAUCCACCCAUGCCAAAGUCCUCCAGUCUGCUCUCCGUAUCCGUGGUUGGGUCAAAUCUAUAGAUGUGGAACCCGCAUAUACGGAGAGCCAACUGUAAUUUGUCGUUAAG
rnacentral:lncRNA from 10 species